UGUCACUGUACCACAGGGCAUUCCCCUCAGAUGCAUAAAACUUAAUUUCUGGCUGAGCAAUCUCUUGAGAAGGGACAAAUUUUACAGAAUGCAAGUCAAGGAAAACUUUCUUUUGAGCAAUUUUCAGGUUUGACAAAUUGUGGGGGUGAAUCAACCAGUGACCUCUGACUGCAGCUCAGAUGGAAAAAAAAGGGAUGGGCCAUUAAACUCCAAAUGGUUAUGAAAAUGGAGCCCUGGACAAUGGCUCCCUUUUACUGGGAACCCAUACCCAUAAAACCCCUGCACUCAGCCAGACUCAAAGACACAAUGACCUGCCAACUGUGGAGAGGAGCUGCCCACUUUAGGGUCUCCUCUCUGGUGAGAGCUGAACAUCAGAUGGGAUGACCAGCUGCAGAGAUGAGCUACCCACCCAAUUCUCUUCUCUGCUGAGAGCUGAGAAGACGAUGGACAGCCUGCCUGUGGAGAGGAGCUACCACUCCAGGGUCUCUCCUCUCUGCUGAGAGCUGAACACUCAUUGGGACACCUUGGCUGCGGAGAGGAGCUACCCACUUUGGGUCACCUCUGACUUAUUCUAUCACUCAAUAAAGCUUCUCUUCACCUUGGUCACUCUUCUAGGAGCUGGUUCAUGGAUUCAAAGUGCAAAAGUCAUUGGUUAGCAGAAGGACAAACACACAAGUAAUGAACAUUAUAGACAUUAUGCCUCGUAGAUAGUUGGAUACAGGCUCUAACAUUUGAAGUGGUCUAUCUGAUGCAGCUCUUAACCAAAGCAUCUUAAUGUAUUCUGUUUGAUGAAAAGAU
rnacentral:lncRNA from 1 species